ACUGAAUCCAUAGGUUAAUGAGGCGAACCGGGGGAACUGAAACAUCUAAGUACCCCGAGGAAAAGAAAUCAACCGAGAUUCCCCCAGUAGCGGCGAGCGAACGGGGAGGAGCCCAGAGCCUGAAUCAGUGUGUGUGUUAGUGGAAGCGUCUGGAAAGGCGCGCGAUACAGGGUGACAGCCCCGUACACAAAAAUGCACAUACUGUGAGCUCGAUGAGUAGGGCGGGACACGUGGUAUCCUGUCUGAAUAUGGGGGGACCAUCCUCCAAGGCUAAAUACUCCUGACUGACCGAUAGUGAACCAGUACCGUGAGGGAAAGGCGAAAAGAACCCCGGCGAGGGGAGUGAAAAAGAACCUGAAACCGU
rnacentral:rRNA from 1 species